GAUGAACGCUGGCGGCGUGCCUAAUACAUGCGAGUCGAGCGAACAGAUGAGGAGCUUGCUCCUCUGACGUUAGCGGCGGACGGGUGAGUAACACGUGGAUAACCUACCUAUAAGACUGGGAUAACUUCGGGAAACCGGAGCUAAUACCGGAUAAUAUAUUGAACCGCAUGGUUCAAUAGUGAAAGACGGUUUUGCUGUCACUUAUAGAUGGAUCCGCGCCGCAUUAGCUAGUAGGUAAGGUAACGGCUUACCAAGGCAACGAUGCGUAGCCGACCUGAGAGGGUGAUCGGCCACACUGGAACUGAGACACGGUCCAGACUCCUACGGGAGGCAGCAGUAGGGAAUCUUCCGCAAUGGGCGAAAGCCUGACGGAGCAACGCCGCGUGAGUGAUGAAGGUCUUCGGAUCGUAAAACUCCGUUAUUAGGGAAGAACAAAUGUGUAAGUAACUAUGCACGUCUUGACGGUACCUAAUCAGAAAGCCACGGCUAACUACGUG
rnacentral:rRNA from 1 species